rnacentral:lncRNA from 1 species
AUGUGCUCUGUGUGCUCUGAGCAGGGGGCCCACCAGGGUCUGCAUUCGGAGCCCCGCUGGACCCAGCGCCUUCCCUCGCCCCGUGCCCGGGAGCAGCCUGAAGGCCCCGGCCGCGGUGCCUGGGCAGGGUGGGUGGGAGAGGCUCAGGGUGCAGCCAAGGUCAGCGCCAAGGGGCCCCGAGGAGCCUGGGGUCUGGGUCUGUGCCUGCCUGGCCAGCGUCACCCCUCCCAUCAGCAGCCCCCUCUGUCUGCUUGCUUCAGGGUGGGGGUCGUACCCGGGUGUCUGGGAGCCCUGGACAGGCCCUCGCUGUCCCCGUCUUGCCUGGGGCGCAGCCCGGAGGUGGGGCUCACGGAUUGUUCCAGGCCAAUGGAAGAGGAAGGAAGCCCCGAAGGGCAGGGGCCUGUUGGGGGGGCCGACUCCCGCUCUGUCACCAGUGUCCAUCUCCCCAGGGCCGGCCCCUUGGGAUCGGCACAAGAACUCACAGGGUUGGCCCGUGUGGAGAGGCUCAGCCAGCCUGGGCCGGGGACCCCCAGUGACGGAUGCAGAAACUGGGAAGCCAGGCUCAGGUGGAGGGCGGGGGUCACGCCUCUGACAAGGCCCCAUGUGGGGAGCACGGCGCGGGCUGGGCUGGGUCUGGGGACCUCCCUCGCACCCGCAAACUGGCUCGGUCUGGACCGACCCCCAAGAACAGCCUUCCCGCUCCUGGGGGCCACACUGCCCCUCCCCGCUGCUCUGGUGACCAUACCCCUGCUGGGGUGCCCUCCAAGAACCGAGGCCACCUGGGCCUGUGGAACCCACAGGUCCGUGUCUGAUCCCCCUCAGCGGGGGCCCUGUUCUGGUUGGGGUGUGCCUCUGCCUCCGCAUCUCACACAGGAUGGAGCCCUGGCUGACCUCAGCACACUCUUGACAGUGAACGAGUGGCCCCUGGACACGCGGGUCAGGGCGAGGGGAUGCCCUCCAUGCCAGGGACUCUGCGGGGCCGAGUCGACAGCCCCUGGCCCUCGGGGACAGAGGCCUCCGGCCCCCGAGCCCUGCAGAGAGACAGCUUCACCACCGUGA